GACGAACGCUGGCGGCGUGCUUAACACAUGCAAGUCGAACGGAAAGGCACUGCUUUUGUGGGGUGCUCGAUUGGCGAACGGGUGAGUAACACGCGUGUAACCUGCCCUUGACUUUGGGAUAACUUCAGGAAACUGGGGCUAAUACCGGAUAGGAGCUCCUGCCGCAUGGUGGGGGUUGGAAAGUUUCGGCGGUUGGGGCUGGACUCGCGGCUUAUCAGCUUGUUGGUGGGGUAGUGGCUUACCAAGGCUUUGACGGGUAGCCGGCCUGAGAGGGUGACCGGCCACAUUGGGACUGAGAUAGGGCCCAGACUCCUACGGGAGGCAGCAGUGGGGAAUAUUGCACAAUGGGCGGAAGCCUGAUGCAGCGACGCCGCGUGCGGAAAGACGGCCUUCGGGUUGUAACCCGCUUUCGCCUGUGACGAAGCGUGAGUGACGGUAAUGGGUAAAGAAGCACCGGCUAACUACGUG
rnacentral:rRNA from 1 species